rnacentral:rRNA from 1 species
AGAGUUUGAUCCUGGCUCAGGACGAACGCUGGCGGCGUGCCUAAUACAUGCAAGUCGAGCGGAUUGAUGAAGAAGCUUGCUUCUUCUGAAGUUAGCGGCGGACGGGUGAGUAACACGUAGGCAACCUGCCCUCUGGACUGGGAUAACUACCGGAAACGGUAGCUAAUACCAGAUAAUUCACUUCUUUGCAUGAGGGAGUG